ACAUAAGCUUUGGCGGUUACACUUCUCAAAAUUCUCACGCUCUCCUCUUUCUCUUCCAAAACGGUUUCUCCUCUUCUUUCAAAACCGGCACAUUCUCUUCACUCACCAUUCUCUUCAAUGCACGGUUACAUUACAUUGACUGUUUGUCUUCCCAUUUUCAAAACGAUUCAAUCUAUCUUCAAUUACCAUUCUCUUCAUCUCCAUUCAACUUUCGCAACCGCCCACAUCCACCUCUGCCUACUCCGCUCUAGAUCGAAACCUGCGUCGCCUGCAACUGCUGAUUUUGCCGUCGUAUCCCCAACACCGACGACUACACCACCGCCGCGCAUCUACGAUUGAAACAUGGGCUUAAUUAGAGGCUAAAAUCAGAAACAAAUGGAGGAUAGCAACAGACCGAAUUCCCAUCACAAGGGUCUCCGACCAAAAUCACCUAAGGGUCUUCGAACCGGUUAAAUCGGCACUGCUGAUAAAAAGAUAAGUUGGUAAAUCAAAGAAUGUUAAUCUGAUUUCCCCACUCCGAAGCCAACGUUCAAUUCAUCCAAUAGAAGAAUCAACAUAAUUCAGCAGUGAAGUCACAAUUGAUGUUGCAAUUGAAUACAAAUUUUGAUUUGGCAAUGUUUAAUGGAGAAAUCCUAUGUCAGAACAUGUAUUGCUCAAUCAGCGGGAACUGACGCUGGUGUUGCUUGAGGUUCGUCAAUGAUGGAUAACUUCACGUAUGUUGUCUGCGGCUGUGUCGAUCUUGGCCGAAAGGGUGAUGCUCGCGGUGAUUGGUUUUGCUUUCUGAUGACCCUUCACAGUGGUCGGGUUUGAUUAAACGUUUUUGUGUUGUUGAAUCGAUCUGUGCGAGCAGAGAGUUUUUAGGGAGUGGAGUUCGACUGAGAUAUCUGUGGAGUGAGAGAGGAUUGAGGUUUGAGAGAAAUCAGGGAUUGUAGGUGGACUCCGAAGUUGAGGGAAUCGUGGGAUUGAGGUGGCUCAAAGUUCCUAUUUUCCAGGCUUUUCAAAUGUGAAUCAUGGACCUGUGAUUCAAAUCUUACUGAUGUUUUUAGGGAAUCCACCUACACUGUUCACAAAUUGUUUGACAGUUUUACUGGGUUUCUCAAAUUCCUUUUGUUUAUGGGUUUCUCAAAUUCCUUUUGUUUAUGGCUUUCUCAUCUGUAUCUAAACUCAACAUGGCUUUGUUAUAUUUUACUAUCUACAGGGGAAUCUUUCACAUAUUGAUUGGGUUUACAUUGUAAAUGCUCACAUAAUCUCUGGUAUUGGAAUCAUGGGUGGACUAAAAUUUAAGGUCUGUAUCGAUAGGACAACAAUACAACACUCCUCAUUCUGUAAGUUUUUUUCAUGUUACCAUUCAUCAUUUUCAAGUUGCCAUUCACUUAAGCCGCAUCUUACGGGACAUCUCCGGCAUGAAGGUUCUCAUACUUGAUUCUCAAACGAUACGCCACUUUCUUUCUUCACCAAUUCACACCACUGUUAUUACCGUCAAUCUGCAACAACGUACGGCAUCGCGAUGCAACCUGCAGAUCUGAUUCACAUAUCUUUCAACAGCGGUUCAGGCGCAUUAGAACAGAGCCAACAGUUUUCGACGGUUCAUCACAUACAACCCGCAAACGAACACCCAACAACAUCAUCAUCAUUCAAAGCAGAACAACAACCUUCAUCAUCACUAUCGAGCUUCUUGAUUAUUGCCUUGCUGAACUGGGAGGGAAAGUGGUGUAUGGUAGAAUUGUUAACAUCAGACGCAAUCCCGAAACUGGAGUCAAUGAAUUUAGGUUAUUGCUGAAUAUCUUCAAAAAAUUGAUCAAAAGUUGGAUGGUGCAAAGAGGGAUUGGCUUGCUAUUUAUGAUGAAUGUGUCAUAGAAGAUUUUAACUAUCAUUUGAAUGUUUAACUGGAAUUGGAUACUGUGACCAAUAGUUUAUCUUGGGGCUUACGGUGACAAAAUCUUAGCAGCCAGAGCAUAUGAUUUAGCUGCAUUAAACAUGUACUUCUCGAAUGAAACUCGACAACAAAAGUUGGAGAGCGUCAAUCCACAGAUACCAAGCCGACACAACAAGGUAUGCAUAAUAUAGACAGUCUGAUGUACUGCUAUCAGAUACUGGGUGGCAUUGUAGUUUCUGUUUCCGCCGUAUCAAUGAUUUUGUGUUUAAGAUGAAAGCGUACAACCACUACGAUCGGGUGAUACCCCUCUGCUUCCAAUGCAUUCAGAGAAAACUACAAUUGUGAUGAAAAAUUGGCAAUGGAUUUUAAAAAUCUACAAAGACGGAUGGCCCAUUCUGUUUCAAUUUCAUGCAGUUCUGGGGGUCAACAUGUUGAAGAAUGAACUACAGAAGUAUAUGGCUGAGAACAUCACAAGCUAAUUGCUCUUAGCUGUAGCUGGUAAUUUGGACCAUAGCUUGGAAAUGGAAUAAUCAUUGGAUUCGAUCGUGUUCGAAAGUGGCCCUUCAAAGCGGUAAUAUCUCUUUUGUGCCUUUGGAAUCGAACAUACUACGAGUUAAAGACAUUAUUGAUUAAUAUUUCUUGCUGAUUCCGAAUACAACUCAUGCGAUCUAAUCUGGGACUGUCACAACCAAAUCUGAGAGAUUAAUCUAUGUUUGUGCAAUUCUUACAAGAUAUGGCAAUCCAUUGAUCUGUAUGGUAGCGUGCCAUCGCCAAGGAGGCACACGGCUGAAUUUGUACCUCCACUGAAAACACCUCUGAUACAACCAACAGAUGAACAGCAGCGAAAAAGCUCUAAUUGUUUCCUCCUAUUUCUACUCUGGUGCAAUAUGUUUUCAUGUUGUGGCUGUGACGACCGAUGUCGUGACGUUUUGCACGCAAUAUGUCUGCCGGAAUUCACAAUAGUGGCAAGUAGGUUGCGGCGAUAGGAGAUGAGAUGUUGUUGUACUAGAAUGCAUCGGUUUUAGGAUUUCUAAUUAGUUGGUAAAAGAAGAGAAUUUGUAUUCAUUUCAUGAUUCUGAUUUACUUGAAAGGGGAACAAGAUCUUUCUCAUAUAUUUUUUUUGCCGUUGCUGAAUAUUUUAUCCAAUGCAUGC